UACGGGGGGGGCAAGCGUUGUUCGGAAUUACUGGGCGUAAAGGGCUCGUAGGUGGCCAACUAAGUCGGACGUGAAAUCCCUCGGCUUAACCGGGGAACUGCGUCUGAUACUGGAUGGCUUGAGUUCGGGAGAGGGAUGCGGAAUUCCCAGUGUAGCGGUGAAAUGCGUAGAUAUUGGGAAGAACACCUGAGGCGAAGGCGGGUUGCUGGGCUGACACUGACGCUGAGGCGCGAAAGCCAGGGGAGCGAACGGG
rnacentral:rRNA from 1 species